rnacentral:rRNA from 1 species
CCUACGGGGCGCAGCAGUGGGGAAUAUUGGACAAUGGGCGAAAGCCUGAUCCAGCCAUGCCGCGUGUGUGAAGAAGGCCUUCGGGUUGUAAAGCACUUUCAGUGGGGAAGAAAGCCUUGGGGCUAAUACCCUCGAGGAAGGACAUCACCCACAGAAGAAGCACCGGCUAACUCCGUGCCAGCAGCCGCGGUAAUACGGAGGGUGCGAGCGUUAAUCGGAAUUACUGGGCGUAAAGCGCGCGUAGGCGGUCUGAUAAGCCGGUUGUGAAAGCCCCGGGCUCAACCUGGGAACGGCAUCCGGAACUGUCAGGCUAGAGUGCAGGAGAGGAAGGUAGAAUUCCCGGUGUAGCGGUGAAAUGCGUAGAGAUCGGGAGGAAUACCAGUGGCGAAGGCGGCCUUCUGGACUGACACUGACGCUGAGGUGCGAAAGCGUGGGUAGCAAACAGGAUUAGAUACCCCAGUAGUC